GCUUCCGGAGCUAACGCGUUAAGUCGACCGCUGGGGAGUACGGCCGCAAGGUUAAACUCAAAUGAAUUGCCGGGGGCCCGCACAAGCGGUGGAGCAUGUGGUUUAAUUCGAUGCAACGCGAUCAACCUUACCUACUCUUGACAUCCACGGAAUUCGCUAGAGAUAGCUUAGUGCCUUCGGGAACCGUGAGACAGGUGCUGCAUGGCUGUCGUCAGCUCGUGUUGUGAAAUGUUGGGUUAAGUCCCGCAACGAGCGCAACCCUUAUCCUUUGUUGCCAGCACGUAAUGGUGGGAACUCAAAGGAGACUGCCGGUGAUAAACCGGAGGAAGGUGGGGAUGACGUCAAGUCAUCAUGGCCCUUACGAGUAGGGCUACACACGUGCUACAAUGGCAUAUACAAAGAGAAGCAAACUCGCGAGAGCAAGCGGACCUCAUAAAGUAUGUCGUAGUCCGGAUUGGAGUCUGCAACUCGACUCCAUGAAGUCGGAAUCGCUAGUAAUCGUAGAUCAGAAUGUACGGUGAAUACGUUCCCGGGCCUUGUACACACCGCCCGUCACACCAUGGGAGUGGGUUGCAAAAGAAGUAGGUAGCUUAACYUCGGGAGGGC
rnacentral:rRNA from 1 species